AGUGAACGCUGGCGGCAGGCCUAACACAUGCAAGUCGAGCGGCAGCGGGUCCUUCGGGAUGCCGGCGAGCGGCGGACGGGUGAGGAAUACAUCGGAAUCUGCCCUGUCGUGGGGGAUAACCUAGGGAAACUUAGGCUAAUACCGCAUACGACCUACGGGUGAAAGCGGGGGAUCGCAAGACCUCGCGCGACAGGAUGAGCCGAUGUCCGAUUAGCUAGUUGGCGGGGUAAAGGCCCACCAAGGCGACGAUCGGUAGCUGGUCUGAGAGGAUGAUCAGCCACACUGGGACUGAGACACGGCCCAGACUCCUACGGGAGGCAGCAGUGGGGAAUAUUGGACAAUGGGCGCAAGCCUGAUCCAGCCAUGCCGCGUGGGUGAAGAAGGCCUUCGGGUUGUAAAGCCCUUUUGUCCGGGAAGAGAUCGUCUGGGCUAAUACCCCGGGCGGAUGACGGUACCGGAAGAAUAAGCACCGGCUAACUUCGUG
rnacentral:rRNA from 1 species